rnacentral:rRNA from 1 species
AUUAAACGCUGGCGGCAUGCCUUACACAUGCAAGUCGAACGGCAGCACGGGGGCAACCCUGGUGGCGAGUGGCGAACGGGUGAGUAAAGCAUCGGAACGUGCCCUGGAGUGGGGGAUAACGUAGCGAAAGUUACGCUAAUACCGCAUAUUCUGUGAGCAGGAAAGCAGGGGAUCGCAAGACCUUGCGCUCUGGGAGCGGCCGAUGUCGGAUUAGCUAGUUGGUGGGGUAAAGGCCUACCAAGGCGACGAUCCGUAGCGGGUCUGAGAGGAUGAUCCGCCACACUGGGACUGAGACACGGCCCAGACUCCUACGGGAGGCAGCAGUGGGGAAUUUUGGACAAUGGGCGAAAGCCUGAUCCAGCCAUGCCGCGUGAGUGAAGAAGGCCUGGUUGUAAGACGUCUUCGUGGGAGAAGUGCAUAGGCGUAAUAACCUCGUGUAGAUGACGGUACC